AUUGAACGCUGGCGGCAGGCCUAACACAUGCAAGUCGAACGGAGUGGCGGACGGGUGAGUCCUGUCUGGGAAACUGCCCGAUGGAGGGGGAUAACUACAGGAAACGGUAGCUAAUACCGCAUACAGUUGGAUGUGCCUCGAUGGGAUUAGCUUGUGGGUGGUGUAAAGGCCUACCAAGGGGACGGUCCGUAACUGGUCUGAGAGGAUGAUCAGUCACACUGGAACGGAGACACGGUCCAGACUCCUACGGGAGGCAGCAGUGGGGAAUAUUGGACAAUGGGCGAAAGCCUGAUCCAGCCAUGCCGCGUGUGUGAAGAAGGUCUUCGGAUUGUAAAGCACUUUAAGUUGGGAGGCGUUACCAACAGAAUAAGCACCGGCUAACUUCGUGCCAGCAGCCGCGGUAAUAC
rnacentral:rRNA from 1 species